rnacentral:lncRNA from 1 species
AAUAAAUCUGUCAACUCAUCUUUGUUCUUGCAAGGCUUGUGUGCAUCUUUUGUUGAAUUAAGUAAGAAACUUUGGCCUCUCAUAUCAACUUGUAAAAUCUCGUGAUUAGUGGAAUCAAAGAUUCGACAAUAUUUAUCUCCAAAUAAUAAUUUAAAUCUUUCUUCAAUUAGCUGGCCAACAUUUAACAAACUUUUAUUAAU